rnacentral:rRNA from 1 species
ACUGCUCAGUAACACGUGGAUAACCUACCCAAGAGUCCGGGAUAACCCCGGGAAACUGGGGAUAAUACCGGAUAGGUCAAACUUGCUGGAAGGCUGUUUGGUUGAAACCUCCGGGGCUUUUGGAUGGGUCUGCGGCUGAUUAGGUUGUUGCCGGUGUAACGUACCGUCAAGCCUGUAAUCAGUACGGGUUGUGGGAGCAAGAGCCCGGAGAUGGAUUCUGAGACACGAAUCCAGGCCCUACGGGGCGCAGCAGGCGCGAAAACUCUACAAUGCAGGCAACUGCGAUAGGGGAACAUCGAGUGGCGUCCAUAUUGGAUGUCUGUCCUCCCGCCUAAAAAGCGGGAGUUAGCAAGGGCCGGGCAAGACCGGUGCCAGCCGCCGCGGUAAUACCGGCGGCUCGAGUGGUGGCCGAUAUUAUUGAGUCUAAAGGGUCCGUAGCCGGCUUUGCAAGUCUCUCGGGAAAUCCAGCGGCUUAACCGUUGGUCGUCCGGGGGGUACUACAUUGCUUGGGACUGGGAGAGGUAGGAGGUACUCAGGGGGUAGGAGUGAAAUCCUGUAAUCCUUUGGGGACCACCGGUGGCGAAGGCGUCCUACCAGAACAGGUCCGACGGUGAGGGACGAAAGCUAGGGGCACGAACCGGAUUAGAUACCCGGGUAGUCCUAGCCGUAAACGAUGCUCGCUAGGUGUCACAACAGUCGUGAACUGUUGUGGUGCCGUAGGGAAGCCGUGAAGCGAGCCACUUGGGAAGUACGACCGCAAGGUUGAAACUUAAAGGAAUUGGCGGGGGAGCAC